AGAGAAGGACCUGGAGAUCCCGCGGCCUGAAGGUAAAGGACCACCAGUUUCUUGUUUGAUGCCCAAAACAAACACAGAGGAAGAAAAUCCAGCUGUUUCCAGAGCAAUGGAAUCAGGAGUCUGGUGUUGGAAAAGCUCCAGGCGUCACGAGAUUUGUAGCCCGGGCUGAAAUGUCCUGUGCUUGCAUUUUGACCUUUGCCUGGCACCCACGACUGGCCUGCCUUCUCUGCCCCAACUCCUCCUUCUGACCAGUGUCCUUAUGUUUGGAUCUGUGCUGGAAUUGGUUCUGAGACAACAUAAACAGAGCAUGACUCAUGGAUUUGAAGAAGUGUAAGGGUGAAGAACAUGAAGUCAUCAAGGUUAGAAGAAGCGAUGCCAGCGAUGAACACCAAGCUUCACGCACGUUCAAGGAGAGAUGAUUCCAUUCAUUUUAUAAGGUUCGCCCAGAGGCGUGGUUGUUGAGUUCUUGAACAUACAGAGGUCAAAUCGUUUAGGUGUCUAUGUUUCCCCAACAAUACUUUGCUCUGGGGUGGGUAUCACCUGUAGGGUAGUUGUCCUGAUGAAAAGGCCUUAUUGGGCACCAAAAGCUCUGACUGGCAUGCUGGUGGAAGACCCUCAGUAGUAUAGAGAGAGUCAGCCCAGGCCCCUCUGGCAUACUGGGUUUCCAUCUUAAGACUCGUUGGAUGCAGGGUCAGCUUUCUGAUUCUACUGGCAGUAAUUCCAGACUUAUAUCUUGGGAACAUCGGAGAUAAAGUUCAAGGAUGCUUUGUGCUGUGAAAAUAAAAUGACUACUAAAUGGUACCGGGCAAGCAGCCCUGUUGCCUGAUUUUAUGUACAUGACUCUUAGUGACUUGGCUAUAAAGUAUGGGCAAAAUAAAGUGAACUGAAUUUAACUGG
rnacentral:lncRNA from 1 species